rnacentral:rRNA from 1 species
AUUGAACGCUGGCGGCAGGCCUAACACAUGCAAGUCGAACGGUAACAGGAAGAAGCUUGCUUCUUUGCUGACGAGUGGCGGACGGGUGAGUAAUGUCUGGGAAACUGCCUGAUGGAGGGGGAUAACUACUGGAAACGGUAGCUAAUACCGCAUAACGUCGCAAGACCAAAGAGGGGGACCUUCGGGCCUCUUGCCAUCGGAUGUGCCCAGAUGGGAUUAGCUAGUAGGUGGGGUAACGGCUCACCUAGGCGACGAUCCCUAGCUGGUCUGAGAGGAUGACCAGCCACACUGGAACUGAGACACGGUCCAGACUCCUACGGGAGGCAGCAGUGGGGAAUAUUGCACAAUGGGCGCAAGCCUGAUGCAGCCAUGCCGCGUGUAUGGAGAAGGCCUUCGGGUUGUAAAGUACUUUCAGCGGGGAGGAAGGGAGUAAAGUUAAUACCUUUGCUCAUUGACGUUACCCGCAGAAGAAGCACCGGCUAACUCCAUG